rnacentral:misc_RNA from 1 species
AACGCACCUUGCGCUCCUUGGUAUUCCGAGGAGCAUGCCUGUUUGAGUGUCAUUAAAUUCUCAAUCCUCUCUGGGUUUUUUCUCAGUUAGGAUUGGAUAAUGGGGGCUUUGCUGGCUUGAAUAAGGUCAGCUCUCCUAAAAUACAUUAGCAAGACUCUUGUUGCAGCCUUCUGUAUGGUGUGAUAAUUAUCUACAUCAUAGAUUGCAUGCAGUAAAAAAAUGUCAGGCUUCUAACAGUCCAUUGACUUGGACAAACUAAUUGACAAAUUUGACCUCAAAUCAGGUAGGACUACCCGCUGAACUUAA